rnacentral:rRNA from 1 species
GACGAACGCUGGCGGCGUGCUUAACACAUGCGAGUCGAACGCUGAAGCUCAGCUUUUGUUGGGUGGAUGAGUGGCGAACGGGUGAGUAACACGUGAGUAACCUGCCCCCUUCUUUGGGAUAACGCCCGGAAACGGGUGCUAAUACUGGAUAUUCACUGGUCUUCGCAUGGGGGCUGGUGGAAAGGGUUUUUCUGGUGGGGGAUGGGCUCGCGGCCUAUCAGCUUGUUGGUGGGGUGAUGGCCUACCAAGGCUUGGACGGGUAGCCGGCCUGAGAGGGUGACCGGUCACAUUGGGACUGAGAUACGGCCCAGACUCCUACGGGAGGCAGCAGUGGGGAAUAUUGCACAAUGGGCGCAAGCCUGAUGCAGCGACGCCGCGUGAGGGAUGGAGGCCUUCGGGUUGUGAACCUCUUUCGCUCAUGGUCAAGCCGCAACAAUGGUUGUGGUGAGGGUAGUGGGUAAAGAAGCGCCGGCUAACUACGUG